rnacentral:misc_RNA from 1 species
AACAAGGCGUACCUGCGGACCUGCGGAGGGAUCAUUACCGAGUCUUCGUACUCAAAACAACCCUUCUGUGGACCUGAAUAAAACCGUUGCCUCGGCAGGCGGCCCUACCUACGGGCCAGAUAGUUCGGCUGCCUCCAGGGAGGAAACCCUCCCUGAGGUGCUGGCGCCAGCCGCUGGCCCCAAACCAAAACUCUAGUAACUUUUACCUUCUGAGUUUUAAUGCAAGAAAUAAGUCAAAAC